ensembl:lncRNA LINC02389 long intergenic non-protein coding RNA 2389
AAAACAAGAAGAGCUGUGUCACCAAGUUCCAUAAAAUCUGGGAGCCCAAGCAGCAUAUUUGUGGGAUUUGUCUGACAGAACGCAAUGGAAACAGAGCGUGGCAUUCGCUCCAUCUCCCCCAGGUCACCUGUGGAGAAAGAAACAUCAUCUCUCAACAGAGGAUUGUUCCUCCGUUUGAUGAUACGUGCAUCCUGCCAUCUGGAAUUCAAUUGACUGUUCUGUCUUGGAGCCAAGAAUCUAGAAACAGGUAAAGGAAGAUUUUCAUGAUUCACUGACUGAGGACAAUCAAAUUCUUCACCACGUAGAACCUAGACAUUGGGUCUUUGGAAAGGACAUCAGAGAAAGACUGCCAUUAAGCUCCAUUGGAAGAGACCAUAUCAAGUUCUUUUCUGCAGCAAACCAUCAGGCUCUCAAGUCUUGGAUCUAUGUCUCUCAACUCAAAAGAGCUCCUCCAGACUCCUGGAACUGUAUACCUAUUGGAGACUCUAAGGUAAAGCUCACCAGGGAAGAUUUCCCCCAGGAGCAGUUGGCAUCCUAGACUUCAACAGCUUUCGUAAGAUUGUGGAUCAAGACUUCUCUGCCAUCAUGAAAGUCUUAUCUUUUCCCUUUCUUCCCAAUUUCCUGCUGUCCCAGUCCCUUUCUUUUACUUAUAGGAAAAUCCAUGGGGCCAUAAUCUGUGGAUGGCUUUAGCUAAGUCUUAUGCUGUAGUGAAAAAACAGAGCAAUUGUUGGGUUUAUGAAGAUAAGCUAGUUUCUACUGAGGAAAGAUUCCAGUGGCAUUCCUGGGGGCUCAGUCUUGGUACUAGCAGGGUACUGGUAGUAUGGAAUUUGAAAGUAAUCCAUAAAAUGAGAAAAAUCUUGGGUUUGACCAACCAGUCCCCACAGAGGUUCAGGUGAGUAGAAGUCAUCUUUUGAAAACACUUAAUAAAACAUCAUGCAGUUUUGGAUCCUGUUUCCUUAGACACUGCCACCAAAUACAUAAAGGAAAUUUCUCAGAGGAAAGAAACAUAUGACAUGUUCAUAGGAGCAGCAAACCAUUGGUUUGCAGGUAGGCUUGGCUUUUCCAAGGUGUUCUAACCUUUAUGCUCUUCUAAUGGUUCUCCAGAUUACUAUGACUUGUGUUAACAAGAUAAUGACAACAUUGGAUACCUCUUUAAAUCAGCAAACUGCAGUUCUUAAUCAUUAUCACCUCCUGAACAAAAACCAUGACCAACGGUACUCAAAUGCUUUUGAGCUGCCUGUAAGGGAGGAGACCACCCCUCAUAUUGUCUUAUGCCCAAUUUCUGCCUCCAAAUAAAGAAGAAGUAAAAACUAAAAGGCAGAAACGAAAUCCACAAGCAGACAGCCCGGUGCCACACCCUGGGCCUGGUAGUUAAAGAUCGAUGCCUGACCUAAUCAGUUAUGUUAUCUAUAGAUUACAGAUAUCGUAUAGGAAAGCACUGUGAAAAUCCCUGUCCUGUUUUGUUCCGAUCUAAUUACCAGUGCAUGCAACCCCCAGUCAUGUACCCCUGGCUUGCUCAAUCGAUCACAACCCUCUCAAGUGGACCCCCUUAGAGUUGUGAGCCCUUAAAAGGGGCAGGAAUUGCUCACUCAGGG